CGAAAGUUUCAGGAUCCGUUUUCCCCUUGCAAAUACCCUCGCUCUUGGGGGGAGACAGGGGAGAAGGAGGAAGGGGAAAUAUUUCCCCGGAUCUCUAGCUCCCUCAGCUCCAGGCAGGCCUGUGGUGCCGCGUCUGAGACCCGGGACCGAGACCGCCAGUCGGGGCUGCUCGCCAUGACCUUAAAGUUCUCUGGCCGCCGAAAAGGGCCGAGAGACAGCUGGGCAGGUAGACAGAAGCAGACACAAAGAAAGGGACCCUCGAAGGCGACCAGAGAGAAGAUAGAGAACGCAAAGAGCGAAGUGAAACAGCCGGACAGGAGGCAGGAGGCGGGCAGGUGGAGCGGCCAAAACCCGCGUGCUGAGAAGGGCCCAGAGGGGCCUCGGAAGCGACCAGGCGCGUCUCCCUUCCCACUUUACCUGGAGGUUAAUGACCUCGUUAGCGCCCCCUCGUUCCAAACCGCCCAUUUACAACUCCUCGGUUUUCUCGAGGCUCUCUGAUUAAUUAGCCGGUUCGGCAGGAUAGAGGUGCCCCUCCGCCGGGACCUGGCGGCGUUGCUCUAGAUGGUUUCUCAAUUGCGGGGAGGAAGGGCGCAUCCGGGGAGGGGAAAUGGGGGGUGAAUGGUGCUGGCGCCUGCGGCCUGGAGGGAGUAGAUGAACGGUUCGUGAGCUGCAGCCGAACGCUAAGACCCAGAGACUAGGACCCACUCCCCCUCGGAUCAGGACAGCAGGAAGGAGAUGCUCAUUGGGAACUGGUGCCCGCCCCAGACUCUGCAGUCCCCGCGGCCGAGACCCCGCUUGCGGCGAGGCGCUGGGUCAGCGUUUACAGCCACUCCCAGCGCUGGUGGCUGGACAGAGCCCCCUACCCCACCUCAUCUCCGCCCAUCAGACAGCAGAGGUUGUAAGAAUACAGGCCCUUGGCGUUGUGGCGUCCAAGGGGCACCUGUGUACUUGCGAUCUCCCUUCUACCCUGAAUUGCCACUGCCGAAUUUGAAAGCCGCCUUUCUAAUCCCUCUGCCAGGCUCCCGCCUCCGGAGGGCCAGGGCUCCGAGCUAGGCCCUCCCAGACUUCCAGGUUCCACCCCUGCGGCGCCAACCUGCGGCUGGGCUGUCGGCGGAUGGGGCUGGAGGGGCGCGGGGCCCGGAGGUGCCCCUGACCCUGCUCCCGACGCCAACUUUGCGCUCGGGCUCGCCACCUCCCGGACUGGGGACCUUCCUGUCCUCCUACCCGCAGCAGGUAGGCAGUCGCGGGGCAGGCCAGCGGCUUGCGCUGAGAUCUUCACUCUGAACCCAGCCCGGAGGCGAAGGUGCUGAUCCCCAGGGAGUACCGCGGGGCGCGCGCCGUCGGAGACUGCUGCGCUGGCCCAGCGCAAGAGAACCCUAGACAGGACUUGGGUACGUCCCGCGCAGUCUCAAGUACGUCCGGGAUCGGGGACUGAGGGCGCAGCGGUCGGUCUCCAACCCCUCACCACGACCUCUGCGACUAUCUCAAUCGCCACGCGCGACCUGGUCCCACAGCAGCGGUGCGGUCUCUCCCAGGAGCCAGUCACUCAGGAGCCGCAAGGCAGGGGCAUCUCAGCCCCGGAGGCGCCUCGGAGGAAAAAGGUUGCUGUGAGGAGCAUCCUUCCCUCCGGUUCAUCUCGGAGCCUAGGAGCCGGGAUCCCCGGGGCCAAGGGGCGAAGGGACUAGGAAAAGGUUCUUGAGGCGGGAUCUAAGGUUACUGAGAUGUUUCUUCUUUUCUAAGGGGAAGAUUCGCCUAUGCUACCAUCUGUUGCCAAUCUUCCUCUUUCUUCUUCCUUUUUCUCCCUCCCUCCAAAGCCCCAGUACAUAGUUGUACUAAGUUCUUCUAGUUCUUCCAUGUGAUCCACCACCACUAACAGACAAGUGGUGUGAACGGUUCUGCGCCUGGGAAUCAAACCCAGCCCGCCAAAGCAGAUCGUGCUGAACUUUAACUGCUGGGCCAUCAGGGCUGGCUCUGAAGAUGUUCUGCCAAUGGAAUGGAAGCAGUCCAGAGUAGGGAAGAGAGAGCCACAUCCUGUCUGGAAUCGGACAUCCAUCCCCUCAUCUCUGGCUGGGUUCAUGGGGACACAGCUAACCUCAAGGUCAAAGUUCUCCCACCACCAACCUUAGCUCCUGCCCUAGCCUUGCCUGCCCCUUUCCAGAACCCUCCUCUCCUGGGUAGGGAGAAACUGGAGUCUGCCCCAGCCAUACCUCCCCUGUUGUUAAGGAGGGGACCUGAAGCUGGAGGUUCGACUUUCCCUUGGUACCUUCUUCCACUACCAACAGCAGGACAAAUGUGGUCCCACUGGACUACACUGUCCCUGGAGGCUGCACAAUCCAGGCUGUUGGGGGGUCCCUGCCCUUGGGAAUUCAGCUCCUGGAGGCAAAUGGAUAUUGGGCCUUGAGAAGAUCCAAAGAAGUCUAGAGAACCACUCCCGUCUCUGUUGCUUCGUGCUGUGGAGGUGGUAUCGGGCAGGGUCUGCACACAUCUGGAAGGGCAGCCUGGACCAAACCUUUGAUGAGACUCUGCUCCAAAAACAAGAUGCAAUGCCUGGUCUCUCCUGGUGUGUGAGCCCUUUGGUGGCCUGGUUUUGGACUUAUCCUCCAAGCCUUCCCCAGGCACAUACUCUCUCUGCUUCUCUCUCUCUCUCUUUUGCACUGUCUCACUUUCUAUGUCUCCUUCUUUUUCAUCUUUUUAUUUUCUUCUUUUUCCUUCAUCUUUUUU
rnacentral:lncRNA from 1 species